rnacentral:rRNA from 1 species
ACGGAAGGCAGCAGUGGGGAAUAUUGGGCAAUGGGCGCAAGCCUGACCCAGCAACGCCGCGUGAAGGAAGAAGGCUUUCGGGUUGUAAACUUCUUUUAUCAGGGACGAAGCAAUGACGGUACCUGAUGAAUAAGCCACGGCUAACUACGUGCCAGCAGCCGCGGUAAUACGUAGGUGGCAAGCGUUAUCCGGAUCUACUGGGUGUAAAGGGAGCGCAGGCGGUUUUUUAAGUCUGAUGUGAAAGCCCGUGGCUCAACUGCGGGACUGCAUUGGAAACUGGAGAACUAGAGUGUCGGAGGGGCAAGUGGAAUUCCUAGUGUAGCGGUGAAAUGCGUAGAUAUUAGGAGGAACACCAGUGGCGAAGGCGGCUUGCUGGACGAUAACUGACGCUGAGGCUCGAAAGCGUGGGGAGCAAACAGGAUUAGAUACCCUGGUA